UUUUUUUCAUUGUUGCUGCAGGUUGUUUUUAAAGUCUGCGGGUUGAAGUGACCUCACUAAUGCGAGACCUAAGACCAUUUUCAAACAGCAUAGUUCAUGGGAAAAUUAAGAAAGCAUUCACAAACAAACUAACAAUUGAUGCUAAUUGCUGUCUCAUCUGUUUCUGUGUUCCAGUGCCUGGUGUUCUAAGGUUUGCUUCCUGGCUUGAUGGAUGAAGCUUUAGAGCAAAUUUACAAAAAAAUGUUCAACAAAAUUUGCUUAAAUGAACAAAAAUAAAAUCACCAACCGAUAUCGUAAUCGGCCAAUUUUGCUUGGAGAGGG